GGGUUAAGUCCCGCAACGAGCGCAACCCUUGUCACUAGUUGCCAUCAUUUAGUUGGGCACUCUAGUGAGACUGCCGGUGACAAACCGGAGGAAGGUGGGGGUGACGUCAAGUCCUCAUGGCCCUUAUGGGUAGGGCUUCACACGUCAUACAAUGGUCGGUACAGAGGGUUGCCAAGCCGCGAGGUGGAGCCAAUCCCUUAAAGCCGAUCGUAGUCCGGAUCGUAGUCUGCAACUCGACUACGUGAAGUCGGAAUCGCUAGUAAUCGCAGAUCAGCAUGCUGCGGUGAAUACGUUCCCGGGUCUU
rnacentral:rRNA from 1 species